AGCGAACGCUGGCGGCAGGCUUAACACAUGCAAGUCGAGCGGGCGUAGCAAUACGUCAGCGGCAGACGGGUGAGUAACGCGUGGGAACAUACCUUUUGGUUCGGAACAACACAGGGAAACUUGUGCUAAUACCGGAUAAGCCCUUACGGGGAAAGAUUUAUCGCCGAAAGAUUGGCCCGCGUCUGAUUAGCUAGUUGGUGAGGUAACGGCUCACCAAGGCGACGAUCAGUAGCUGGUCUGAGAGGAUGAUCAGCCACAUUGGGACUGAGACACGGCCCAAACUCCUACGGGAGGCAGCAGUGGGGAAUAUUGGACAAUGGGCGAAAGCCUGAUCCAGCCAUGCCGCGUGAGUGAUGAAGGCCCUAGGGUUGUAAAGCUCUUUUGUGCGGGAAGAUAAUGACGGUACCGCAAGAAUAAGCCCCGGCUAACUUCGUGCCAGCCGCCGCAGU
rnacentral:rRNA from 1 species